rnacentral:ncRNA from 1 species
AAUAGACUGCCACCGGGUAGUAGUUAAAUGUGAAAGCAUUUGUUUGCACAUCGUUAGGUCUUAGAAGAUGUGUUUGCAGAUGCUUGUUUUUU